AUUUUUAGGAAUAAGUAUGUAGUUUUUGACAUUCAGUGAAGAAAAAGAAUGAAUCAGAGGUCCAGUAUAGAAUGCAUCAUCCAUUGGUUCUAUAUUUAACGUACGAAAUCUUAAAAGAAGAACUGAGAUGUUGUAAGGGUCUUUGUUUACUUUUAGUUUGGCAUUGUUUUUUCCAGGAAUUCACAAGUUAAAAAAAUGUUUCUUUGGUUAUUAGAUAGCAUUAACCAAGCAUCCAGAAACAUUUUUUUCAAAGCCAAAUCUUUAACAAAGCUAUCAUUUUGAUUUGGGAGUCCGUUUUGGGUUCUCCACAAUGAUGUAGAGGUAGGCCUUGUCAAUUACCUUACUGUCUAAAUCUAGUAAGGUUCCAGAGUGUGUUGGUUUAAGAAAGAAGUUUAGAAAAUGUGGGAAUGAGGGGAAAGAAAAGAAGAACACAUUACACAAUCUAUAUCUAUUAACAGGAUGCACAUAACAAUUACUUAGGCAAUUAGUCACUCAGAGUGAGAGCUGUUAGUAUCCAUGAUGGAAAAAGUACACAAAUAAUACUAUAAAAAAUUAGUGAGAGAUUCAAGAUGUUGCCAUGAUGUUAAUAUGAAGAUCUGAUGUUGAGAAGAACUAUAUCACUUCUGAUAUCUUCAAGCUUAAAUACUUAAAAAUAUAGAUUGUAAAAUUUCACCUUGUUACUUGACUUAAAUUAAAUUAGUUCCAAUGAAGAAUUUUAAAAAUAUAUGUUUGAGGUGAAAAACUGAAUAUCCCCUGGUAUUCUUGCCUCCUUUAAAACUUGUUUUCAUAUUUAAGAAAACUCAGAAAAUUUUCUCAGAUACCCCAAGGACACUGAAUCUUACAGAGAUUUUAAUGCCAAUGUAAUAUAUUAAUCUGUUGGUUUUUCCUUAAAUGUGUACUUGGGUCUCAUAUGGCCUGCCUGAUGCCUUGCUUGGCGAUUAAAAGAAAACCAUUUUAGUGUUUCAAAAAUAUAAUAAGAUGCUUAGGUAAAGUCUAUCAGCCAGAUUUGUUUGUUUGUUUUGGCUUUCUCUCACCUUGAAUCUCUUUCAUGUUGUUCAAGAUGGGUAUUAAAUUUGCUCAGAGACGUUAGUCUCAUUCUGAAGCACACCAAUGCUUCUCAAAUUACCAUCCUGCUAUAAUGAAAGGUACCACCAGAACACUUGAAGAUAUAUCUGACCUUCAAGCAGAGGUCACUCAAUUUGUCCCUAAGUCUAUUGUAUUAAUAACAAUGGACAAACAAAGAUAAUGAGAAGAAAGAAGAAACAAAAUUAAAAGUUUCACCUUAACUUUCCCAGCAUUUUCGUCAUCUUCCUUUUUUUCUUCAAAUUCAAAGGCAACAGUCAUGCGUUGUUGUCUCUGCUCUUCCCACAGUGUUGGGUUAAAGCUGUCACUGUCUGACUGGAAAUCUACAGUUAGAUUCCAAAGUAUUAUUGCUUUUUUUUACAUGAAGUGUUAUUAAUAGAGCUUAGUACACUAUGCAAAAAAAUGGCAAUAGGUACUAUAAACAAGUACAAAAUCAAAAAAAAAAGGAAAAAUAAAGAGAAAGAAAGAAAGAAAGAAAGAAGAAAGGAAAGAAAAAGAGAGGAAAGGUCCUUUGAUAUUUGUUACAUGGUCUUUUACAUCUUAAUUCAAAUUCAGCUUUCCUAAGUACAUAUUAGUUACAUAUUGGGAUUGGGAAGUUUUCUAGUGCAGAGAAUGGGCUCUCCAAAUACUACUACUAAUGAUAAUACAAGAGAGCUGGGCUAUACAUUUUAAAAUAUUAAUUUUUAAAUCUUCACACCAGCACACUAUGGGUAGUACUAAUAUAUCCUCAAUUUGUUAAUGAGAAAACUAUAGUUUUCUCUGGGCCAGUGCAGGAUUCUAUUCCAUGUCUGUGUGAUUACACAGCCCAUACCCAUAUUUGUAGCCACUAAACUCUAUCAGGAUUUUAUAAAAGGUACUACUUAACAUUGGUUUUUCAGUAAAGUGUGUAAGAUUGAAAGCUUUAUUUAUUUAUUUAUUUUUGCUGUGUGUAUGUGGUUGGGAGGAAAUGGAGGGGAGCUUGUUUUUAGGGUUAUGAACAUAUGGAAAUUCAGUCUUUAACAUUACAGUCUCAACUAGUCUAUAUAUAUCCCCAAUUAAUAAGGAAAAUAAGUGGCUUAUAAAUAUUUAAUUUAUAUCAAAAUAUGGACUAAUAGUAAUAUCUUCCUUGCCAACAUUAAUUGUGAAGAUCACAUGAAAAUGCAGUACAAGUACUUCGUUCAGGCUAAAUUCUUCCCCAAAGGACAACACUUAUCAUAUAUGUACUUGUUUGUUGCAAGGGAUUCUGAAAAUUCAUUUAUUAUACUUAUGCCUGAAAAGCCAAAGGGUGACUUGCUUAAAGUUCAAAAAAUUUUUCUAUUACCAACUCUUCUUUCCUCAAAAGAGAGCAAAACAAAACAAAACCUGGCUAAUUCCUUAACAUCACACUUUGCCUAACUAGAUCUACCUCAUUCCCUACAAUAAAUUAGGGAUUCAAUCUGUGCAACCAUAUCUCAGAAAUGACCAGCAAAUCUGAGAUUCUUUUCACUUUUCCCUUUAUUUUUUAAAUGAAAUAUUUUGAUAAUCUAGGGACUAAUAUGAAAAUAUAAGUAAAGUUUAGGUUUAGGUUUUUCAACACGUAUAUCUAUCAUAGCUACUGACAUCAUUUAGAGAAACUCAACUUGAAAGAGAAAGAAUGGUCAUUAUUUUCAAGUGAUCUCUUUAUGGUCGACUCUUAACAUGAAAUAAUUUGGGGCCUGGGAUCACCAGACUAAAUGUUUAAAUUGUGUUCAUGAAAUUAGUGAACACAGGAAAUAAACCAGUUCACUGAACCUUCCUUAAGAUCGGACCCUUCUUAGCUCAUUUCAGUGAGCUGGGUACUACAUUUAGUUAACUAGUCCUAUGUCUUAGAAUCCACCAAGAGAAGUUGCUCCCAAAAAUCAACACUUUCAUAUAAGAUAUGAAGAGGGAGAGUUACAUUUUUGGGAUCUUAUUUAAAAUAGUAUAGUGUACAUUGAUUUUGUAACCUGCAACUUUACUGAAUUCAUUUAUCAGUUCUCCCAGUUUUUUGGUGGAGUCUUUCAGGUUUUCUAUAUGGAGUAUCAUGUCAUCGGCAAAUAGUGAAGGUUUUACUUCUUCCUUGCUGAUUGUGGAAGAUAAGAUUCAUGUUUAGGGUUAACCCCUGGAUGACUUAUAUGUGUCAUCUAAUUAUUUUCAUAGCCUUGCCCAUGUGUCAGUAUUCCUGGCCAGAUAUCAGAAUAAAAUUAUUCCCUUUUAUCCAUAAUUAUAUAAGUAUAGGAGAAAUUUUUACUGAUAAUUUACCUUCAUCACCACGAGGUUGCUGGGGAAACAUGUAGUUAGUCAAUACUCUUUGCUUUGUUUCUGGAUGGGCUUCAGUUUGUAAAGGGAUAAGGGCUUUUGACUAGAUGCAAAGAACAUACAAAAUACAUUAAUAAGAUAGUGAAUAUGAAGAAUAUUACUUUUAUAUAAGACAUGGUCGAUAGUUUGGCCUCACUGAGCUGAAUGAACAAUUAAAAGAAAGGCAAGGAAAAAAGUAAUAAAAUAAUUAAGGAUUACAUAAAAGACUAUUGCUGAGGAAUAUUCUUAAAUUCUAAGGUCUUCAUACUGAGAGUUUCUUUUUCUGUAGGAUACUUUUUUACAAAACCUAUCAUCUUCACUGAGCAAUGUCAGUUUUAGUCUUAAAGAGACCAAGAUGUAUUAAAUUAUUCAACAAAGUAAGCUUUUGGUGUGGUUCUAUAUGCUCAUUCAUUUUCACAAACUGCUGCCCUAAAAAGACAAAUGGGAUUUCCUAUCAAAUCCAUGCUACUGCAAGAUCAUCUAUGAAUUUAAUUAGGUUAAAACAGAAGCAUUUUUUGAGAGAUAUUUUUGUAACCAAAGACAGAGUCCACAUAAAAAUAAGCAACUAUUCUUGUUGUACCUGAUGUAUCAGUAUAUUUCUUGUGGAUGGUAAUAUUUAAUUCUUUAUUAUUAAUUUGAUUUUACAAAUACAAUUUCUGAAGGGUAUUGUAGAACUCUGAUAUUAAAUUAUAUAUAUAUAUACAUAUAUAUAUGUAUAUAUAUAUAUAUAUCUUAUUGGAAAUGAUAUCUAAUGUUUAAAAAAUCCACUAGUUUCAUGACAUUUAUUAAUAGGAGUGAAACACAAAGUGGAUUUGGCAUAUCAACUUGUCUCAUGCAACUGAGUCAGAAACACAUUAAAUCACUGUUAUAAAUAAAAGUUAAAUGAUGCAGUCAUUGUUCAGUUCAGUCUCCCACAAGAAUAAUAAAUCAUGAUAUUAGCAGAUGUUUUUUCACAAUGAAAGACUGUAGAAUAGAUUGUUCCAUUAGCAUAACUCACAUUGAAUCCAGAAAUUAUUUAUUUAUAAUGAUAUAUUAAUGCCUUGAAAAAUCUAUAGUUCAUUGAUAAGAUUUGGAUUUGAAUCUAAUUUCUCUACUCAGCAGAUGGAAGCAAGUACUAUAAUGACUGUAGGGACACAAACAUUAUUCUUACACUUACAUUUUAUGUUUUGUAGAGAUUUAAUUUUUUCACAGAAGUAGCCCAAUACUUAGAAAUCUGGUCAAUUCAUUUACCUGUAAUGCUACGUUUAUGCUCAGGAGAUAAUGAUAACAAACUAAAUUCAAGAUGAUUUGUUUUCAUUUGGCUAUUCAUAUUUGCAAAAAGGUGUUUCAAAAUUUUGGGAUUAUGAGAAAAAAGUAAAGAUUAAUAAGCCAUGUCAAAAUUGUCCACCAUCAUUUUUUUUUUCUGGUGGCAAAUCAGAUGUCUUCAACUAUUUCUUGCUAUUUUCCAGUUAUUAAAGUUAUUCAUUAACACUCAAUUAGUGAUUUGAAUAUAAUCUAUUUUCGUGAUUAUAAAAAAUAGUAUCAAACCAAUUUCACAGAAAAUACUGAUAAUAGUCACAAAAUAUAUCUGAAAAUUCCUUGUAUAAAAUUUUAGAAUUAAGUUGAUUAUAAUUGAAAGUAUUUUAAAAAGGAAUACAUUGGAUAAUAAUUCCCUCUGUGAUUUCUUAUUCCUUACCUUCAGAGAUAUAAUUAAAGAACAUCCCCGAAGGAUACAGAGGUAACUUUUAGAAGUACAAAGCUAUAAAAAUGAUCGUUUUGUGUGUUUGAUACAUGAGAAUGAAGUCGAUGCUAAAUCAAAGUAUUUAAAGAGAGUGGAGAUUAUAGUACUGUAUUAUCUGUAGCAAUGAAAUACACACUUGAACUGCUAUCUUUACAAAAAUCUUUCAGAAGAUAAAGGGAUCUAUAUUUUGUAGUAUAUGCUGAAGGUAGCUACUGGGAAUAAGUUAGUAAUUCAAAGCUUAAAUUAUAGUUCAUCUUAAUAAACAAAAUAAAUCAGGUAAUAACGGUUUUUACCUGAUUGUCAGAAAGCCACAAAGCUGCAAGUUCUUUAAGUUUGGUAAAUGAGAAUGGUAAAUUCUUCAACCUGCGAAAACAAGAAAAUUCUAAUAGCGUGGGUGACGAUGGAUAUAGUUCAUUUUUAUGAAGAAUUAUUUAAAAUACUGUAACUUAUUGAUUUCAUUCUUUUCUCUAAUUCUUUCCCUUCAGUAGUCUGAGCAAUCUCUAAAAAGUGAAAAUCCCCAUUUGCAAUCCUCCAAAUGCUUUCUAUCACAUCUGGAAAAAAAAUCCAAAAUUGUUACCAUGCCUUGUCAGAUCUUACAAGAUCUGGCCCUCCAAGCCCCUCCAGAAACUUCUGCUACUCUUUUCCUGGCUUAGUCCCACCAGUGCCACUUACUGGCCUUUUAUCAGCCCACUACAAGGAGUAGCCAAACUCUUAUCUGUCUGGAAUAUUCUUUCUCCACAACUUCACUUAACUAAUUCCCACAUGUCUUUUAGCUCUUAAAUGCCAUUUUCUCAAAGAGGCUUUUCCUGCCUCCUUAUUUAAAUAACUUUCCCCAGUGUAGUCUCUAAGUACCUUAUACUUUCUUUGAUGGAACACAUCAUAGUUUGUAAUUCUAUAUUUAUUUUUGUGAUUACAGUUUUGCUGGCUGAACUCCCCACAGAACUGUAGACUCCAUGAUGGGAAGGGGUCAUGUCUGUCAUACUAUUAAAGGAAUCUACAGAUCCUAUAGAUGACUCCUGAGAGCAUGUCCUUUUGUUCUGUCACCUUUUUGUAUUCCAAGAGGGAAUUUUUAAAAAUGCAUUUUGAAGUAUGUGAAGUUUGGCAUCAGCUAUGAUAGUCAAUUGAAAUGAUCUAUUUAGUAUUGGCUUUAGCCUUUGGAGGACCAAAUUGCCAAAUGCCUACUUCAACGUACUAUCUGAUAUCCCUGAAAUUGUGUAUGAUGCAUAAAUUGUGAUUGCAUAGGCAUAUAUGUGAUUGCCAUCAUAGUUACUCAGCAAAGUGGUAAUAUAAACAAAGCCUGCCACUGGAUUCAUUGUUAAUUUCUGCAUAUUCACUUUUGAAUAGAGGUACACAUUUUAGAUAGAACUUGGAAUGAAAAUUUCCUUAAGUCUUUAAUAUGUUGGAAUUAUUUCAGCCAAUCCGUGAAUACAUAUAUUUUGACAAUGGAAAUGGAAAAUAUUACAAUAAUUAAUAAGGAUUGUGGAAAUGGUUUAUAUUAUAUGCAAAAGGAGUGACCACUUCAAAUGAUUUAGUAAAUUUGAAAAGAUAUUGAUAGCCAAUACAAAUAGCAACAGUGUGCAUUAGCCAGAUAACUUUAGGAAGAAUAUAAUAACCUCUCUGAGCUCAUAAAUAUUUAUAAAACAUAAAUAAGCAUAUAAAGAGUAAUGGAGACUGAUUUAUAUCAUAGUUCUCUUUUUAUGAAAUUAUUUGUUAUACUAGUAUUUAUAACAUGAAACUAAAUUACGUAAAAACUGUUUGUAGUUUUUGGUUAUUUAAUUUCAUUGAAGCCAGGAAUUAUGAAGUAAGGUGUUAUGGGAAGAAUUUUUCCACAUCAUAUGGAGAUGAAUUGAAAGUAGAAUAUCAAUUCUGCCACAUUGAAACUAUGUGAGGGGGAAACUCUCCGGAAUCAUACAACAAAAUGCAUGACAAAUCAUCAUCAACCCAGUCAUAAAUGUGGAGUGUAAGGAAAGGAGACUGUUAGAGGAGGACAAGUUACACUCAAUUCUCCUUAGUCCCCCAGUAACGUAUGUUAAAAGUGAGCUUCUAUUUAGUAUCACAAAUGUGCAAUAAAUUGACCAUAGGAACAAUCUUGCAAUUGACGGUGCAUGGGAAUAAUUUUUCCUAAACUAUAAUACCAAAAUUUUUAAAAUUCAUUCUAUUAUAAAUGUGAAAUUGUGAUAGUCAUGACAUUUGGAUGACAUUUCAUAUUUAAUCUUUUAUCCAAGCAUUUCAUAUUUAAUCUUUUAUCCAGUUCUUUCUCUGAUAGUAAUGUUAAAUUUGGCCUCAGAUUUGGUUGAAUAUUGAUUUUAAUUGCAAGUCAAGUCAUUGAUUAAUUCAUUAACUAAGAAAUAUUAGUUGGCUCUAUACUAUGUUCUAGUCGUUGUAGUAGGAGAAAAAUUAAGCUUAUAUAACUGACCUGAUGAAAUAAGUUCCCGGAUAUUGUGAGAUUCUCAAUGACUUAUUCAUAUCUUUUGCCCUACCAUCUAGCAAUAUGUCUGUCCCAUUGUGGUUACUGAAUUAUCCUCUAUUUGUUGAAUAAAUAACUUCAUUAGCAGCCUUUCUACUUUCUUACACCAUACACAAAAAUAAACUCAAAAUUGAUCAAUGACUUAAAUGUGAGGCCUAAAACCAUAAAACUCCUAGAAGAAAGCAGGCAGUAAUUUCCUUGACAUAGGCCAUAGAAAUAUUUUUUCUAAAUAUGUCUCCAUAGGCAAGGGAAACAAAAGCAAAAUUAAACUAUUGGGACUAUACAAAAAAAAAAAAAAAAAAAAAACAACUUCUGCACAGUGAAGGAAACCAGUAACAAAACCAAAAAGCAAUCUACUGAAUGGGAGAAGAUAUUUACAAAUGAUAUAUCUGAUAAGGGGCUAAUAUCCAAAAUAUAUUAAAAAAAAACUUAUACAGCUCAACACCAAACAAAAAAUAAGCCAAUUUAAAAAUGGGCAGAGGACCUGAAUAGUCAUUUUUUUUCCAAAGAAGACAUACAAAUGGUCAACAGACACAUGAAAAGGUGCUCAACAUCAUUAAUCAUCAGGGAAACGCAAAUCAAAACCACAAUGAGAUAUUACCUUAUACCUGUCAGAAUAGCUAGAAUCAAAAAGACAAGAAAUAACAAGUGUUGGUGAGGAUGUGGAGAAAAAGGAACCUUGCUGCACUGUUGGUGGGACUGUAAAUUGGUGCAGCCACUAUGAAAAACAGUAUGGAGGUUCCUUAAAAAAUUAAAAAUGGAAAUAUUAUAUUAUCAAGUAACUCUACUACUGGGUAUCUACCUAAGGUAAAGAAAAUCAAAGCUGUAAUUCAAAAUGAUAUAUGUACCCCUACACUUAUUGUAGCAUUAUUUACAAUAUCCAAGGUAUGGAAACAACCCAAGUGUCCAUCCAUAAAUUGAUGGAUAAAACAUGAUAUAUAGAUAUUUAUGUCUAUAUCUAUAAAUAUAUAUUACUCAGCGACAAAAAAGAAUGAGAUCUUGCUAUUUUCCAGGUCAAACAAGGAUGGACCUAGAGGGUAUACUGUUAAGUGAAGUCAAGUUAGACAAAGACAAAUACCAUAUGAUCUCACUCAUGUGGAAUUUAAGAAACAAAACAAGACAAGAAACAAACAAAAAAAGACAUUUAAAUACAGAGAAGAAACUUGUGGUUGCAAGAGGGGAAGUGGGUGAGGGGAUGGCUGAAAGCGAUAAAGGAGAUUAAGAGUACACUUAUAGUGAUGAGCAUUGAGUAAUGUUUGGAAUUAUUGAAUCAUUAUAUUGUACAUCUGACAUUAAUGGAAUACUAUAUGUUAAUUAUGCCUCAAUAAAAAUAGUCAAAAAACAACUUUAUUAGUAUUACUUAUAAUUAUGGGUCAUUUUAAAUAUUUGAUAAGCAUAUUUUCUAUAUCAUCAUGCAGAUUAUUACUGAAUAAAAGUUGAGCAGACCAAGAAUAUAAGAGAGAAAACCUCUCUCCAAGUUACAACAGUAAUGGAGCUCAGUUCCAUUGGGGACUGUAAUGGAAUCUACUGAGAAUCCAUCUUCCUAUUAUAUCUACAUUAUCAUAUUUCCUAAUCUUAUUCACAAGAAUAUAAUUAGAAAAUUUUGAAAAAUGUUUUGCUGAAAGUCAUGUAGAACAUUCAAAGCAUUUCUCUCAUUUUCCUGUCUGGUAACCCAGUCCAAACAGGAGAAUGAGAUUGAUUUGAUUGGACUUACUCUUGUACCAAGGUAUGAAGCUUCCUUGUCAUCUUGAUUUUAAAAAUUAAAUCCCAAACCUUUUAAUAAAAUGCCUUAUUCUCUUAUACGGAAUAUUAUUGAAUUACUAA
rnacentral:lncRNA from 1 species